rnacentral:rRNA from 1 species
AUUAAUAUUAUAUUUAAAUAAAAUUUUGUAUUUAAUUUUUUUAUAAAAAUAUUUUAAAUAUUAAUUGUUUUAGUAUUUAGUAAAAAUUAAUUUAAAGAUUUAUAAUUAAUUAGUAUUGUAAAAGAAAUUUAAUAAAUUUUAUAAAGAUUUAAAUUUAGUACCUUUUGUAUCAGGGUUGAUUAAAAUAUUUAAUUUAUAAAUUAAAUUCUCAAAAUUUAUAGAGUUAAUUUUAUUAUUAAUUUAUUAUUUUAUAAAUAUUUAGAAAAUAAUUUUAGUUUUGAAAUGUAAUUCGUUAUAUUAUAUUUAGUUAUUUAAGAUUUAAAUUUAAUUUAUAAUUUUAAAAGUUAUAUUAAUUUAUUUUAUAUUAAUAUUUUAACUUUAAAAUAUUUUAGGGAUAAGCUUAAAAUUUUAAUAUAAUAUUUUUUGUAAAUUAAAUAUUUUAUAGGAAUAGAAAUUUUUAUUAAAAGUUUGUAAAAAUUUAUUAUUUUUUUUAUUUUAUUUAUUAUAAUUUAUUUAUUUUUAAUAUUAAAUUUUAUAAUAAAAUAUUUUUAUUAUAGUAAUAAUGAUUAAAUUAGUAUAAUUUUAUUUUAUUAAUUAUGAAUUUGGCAAAAUUUAUUUUCAUCUGUUUAUCAAAAACAUAGUAUUUAGUUUAAUUUAAUAUAUGAUCUGCUCAAUGAAUUUUUUUAAUAGCUGCAGUAUUUUGACUGUGCAAAGGUAGCAUAAUAAUUAGUCUUUUAAUUAAAGACUGGAAUGAAAGAUUUGAUGAAAAAUAAACUUUAUUAUUAAUAUAUUUAUAAUUUUAUUUUUAAGUAAAAAAGCUUAAAUAAUUUAAAGGGACGAUAAGACCCUAUAAAACUUUAUAAUUAUAAAAAUUUAUUUUUUUUUUGAAAAGUUAAUAUUUGAAUUUUAAUAAUUAUUUUAUUGGGGUGAUAAAAAAAUUUUAUGAACUUUUUUUAAAAUUAAACAUUAAUUAGUGUAUUUAUUGAAUUAAAAUUUUUAUUUAUAAGAAAAAGUUACUUUAGGGAUAACAGCGUAAUUAAUUUUUUAAGUUCAAAUUUUAAAAUUAGG